GACGAACGCUGGCGGCGUGCUUAACACAUGCAAGUCGAACGGAAAGGCCCUGCUUUUGUGGGGUGCUCGAGUGGCGAACGGGUGAGUAACACGUGAGUAACCUGCCCUUGACUUUGGGAUAACUUCAGGAAACUGGGGCUAAUACCGGAUAGGAGCUCCUGCUGCAUGGUGGGGGUUGGAAAGUUUCGGCGGUUGGGGAUGGACUCGCGGCUUAUCAGCUUGUUGGUGAGGUAGUGGCUUACCAAGGCUUUGACGGGUAGCCGGCCUGAGAGGGUGACCGGCCACAUUGGGACUGAGAUACGGCCCAGACUCCUACGGGAGGCAGCAGUGGGGAAUAUUGCACAAUGGGCGGAAGCCUGAUGCAGCAACGCCGCGUGCGGGAUGACGGCCUUCGGGUUGUAAACCGCUUUCGCCUGUGACGAAGAGUGAGUGACGGUAAUGGGUAAAGAAGCACCGGCUAACUACGUG
rnacentral:rRNA from 1 species